UACGGAGGGGGCAAGCGUUGUUCGGAAUUAUUGGGCGUAAAGGGCGCGUAGGCGGCCGGAUAAGUCUGACGUGAAAUCCCACGGCCUAACCGUGGAACUGCGUUUGAAACUGUCCAGCUCGAGUCCGGGAGAGGGUAGUGGAAUUCCCAAUGUAGCGGUGAAAUGCGUAGAUAUUGGGAGGAACACCGGUGGCGAAGGCGGCUACCUGGACCGGUACUGACGCUGAGGCGCGAAAGCCAGGGGAGCAAACAGG
rnacentral:rRNA from 1 species